rnacentral:rRNA from 1 species
GACGAACGCUGGCGGCGUGCUUAACACAUGCAAGUGGAGCGACGGAACCAGGCUUCGGCCUGGGGCAAAGCCGCGAACGGGUGAGUAACACGUGGGUAACGUGCCCCAAUGACCGGGACAGCCCGAGGAAACUCGAGCUAAUACCGGAUGUGCUGCAGAGUCGUAAGUCUCUGCAACAAAGGAGCUUCGGCUCCGCAUUGGGAGCGGCCCGNGGCCCAUUAGCUUGUUGGUGAGGUAACGGCUCACCAAGGCUGCGAUGGGUAGCUGGUCUGAGAGGACGAUCAGCCACACUGGGACUGAGACACGGCCCAGACUCCGUACGGGAGGCAGCAAGUGGGGAAUCUUGCGCAAUGCG